UCGUAAAACCAGAGAAGAGAGAGUGGAUAUGAAGUACAGAAAAGAUAGAGAUGAGAAUGAUGAAAAAUCAGUUUUCUUAAUGAAGAUGAAAACAUUGUUGAUGAAAAUGAGCUUUCUCAUGCUGAUGAAAAUACCGAUUCAGAUCGCGAUGAGGGAAUCCAUUCUCAACUUAUGUUAUUCAAAUUGGGUUUUGCUAAUUUUUGAAAGAAUUCUAAUCAUAUGCAGGUAACCACAACAAGUUUAUGAUCACUGUCGUGUGCCUGACUUGAAGCUAAGGGAUGUUAGAAUCCUCUGCAUGGAUGGAUCAAAAGUUACAAUAAUCACGUGAUCAAAUUCACCAUUGCAAUGACUAAAAGAUGCAAGAUAGAUGCCUUCCCUUGAUUAGUAGUUCUUCAAGCCCUUAUGUUGGCUCCUUGGAAAUUUUUGGGUAACCUGAAGGUAACCAGAUCAAACUCCACCUCUCCAUAUAAAGCUUUGAACGCCAAUGAAAAUUUAUUAUUAUUGAUUUUUUUACGUGUUCUGUGAGCCUUUUGUUUACUUGUUUUGUGCGAGCGAAUAUUUAGAAGAGUCUCGAUGUGGUAGAGAACAUAAAUGUGUUAAAAUGGUUCUAAAGAUGCUCCAAGAAAGGGUCUGAAGCUGAAUCUAAGCCAUGUCUGACCGUCCGCAGCUUCCUUAUCAAACUCCGGGUGCUAGUCUACCGAGAUCCCCUCCGCGCAGAGAGUCUCAAAUGGAUCCACGUGGUAUCAGAGUUUCUUCUUCAGGGGCGAAGGCCUCUCCUCCUAGGAAAGAUGGUCCCUCAAAAAAUCAUUCUGGGUCUCGAAACGCUGCCGACUGUGCGGUUUCUCGUCCUCGUGAUGACGUUAGGUGUGCGCAGACACCUCCUCGUGUUGUUGCCUUUGAUGUUCCUCCUCUGCGUUCAGUAGUGCCUGUGCAGCACCCUCUACCGCCGCCUCCAGUACUUCCUCUCAAAGGGAAGAACACCAAAGGUUGUGUCCCGAGGACUGAAUCGUCUAAGAAUCCCUCUUUAAAAAGACGAGCUUCCGAGGCUUUUGUUGGUUCGUCCGACCCCGCGGAACAGAAUGAGGUUGCCCCGGUGAUACGCAGUGUUUCGGUCAGCAAGAAGAAAGUGAUGUUCAAGCAUAUUGACCUUGAAGUUUUCAAGGAAAAGCAUGAGCUUCAAGCCUUCGAGGUUCGU